GCAUUAGACAGAAAACUGGAAGUUGAAAUGGUGGAGUCCAACUUGUCUGGACCAGCUUAAUGGUUCUGCUCCUGGUAACGUUUUUAUCCACGGAUGGCUUGCUUGGGUAUGGAGAGUCGGCUUGACUACACUGUGUGGAGCAAGUUUUAAAGAAGCAAAGGACUCAGAAUUCAUGCUUGAAGAAAUGCAGGGUUUUUAAUGACCACGACAAGCAAGCAUGCAGCUUACUGCUUGAAAGGGUCUUGCCUCACCCAAGCUGGAGUGCAGUGGCCUCUGAAGCUUACUACAGCCUCAAACUUCUGGGCUCAAGUGAUCCUCAGCCUCCCAAUGGUCUUUGUAGACUGCCUGAUGGAGUCUCAUGGCACAAGAAGAUUAAAACAAUGCUCCAAUUUUAAUAAAUUUUUGCAAUCCA
rnacentral:lncRNA from 1 species